CGUAACUUGACGAUGAACUAUUUUCAUUGGAGCUUACGUCGAUUGAAUCGAACUUAGACCUACAAUACGAAAUAAAAUCACAUAAGUUUUCAGUCCUCAAAGUUGUGUGCCAAUAGUCACAUUAUAAUAUUGUGGCUAUUGGCACUUUGUGCCAAUAGUCUCUUUC